UGCUCCCAGCUGUUAAGAGGCCAGUGUUGAUCAGUGGCUGUCCAGGCCUUUCAGAGCCACUGACACACCAGGAGCACAAUGAUGAUGUCUCUGACUCUACUGCUGGCCACCCUGGGGCUCCUUGUUCAGGGUUCAUCAGGAGACAUCAUCCUGACUCAGUCUCCUGGAGCUCAGUCUGUUGUUCCAGGACAGACUGUCUCUAUCAGAUGUAAAGCCAGUAGAUCUAUAGGUGAUGACAUGAACUGGUACCUUCAGAAACCUGGAGAACCUCCUAAACUCCUGAUUGCUGAUACCACAUACCGUCAGUCUGGAGUUUCAGAUCGUUUCAGUGCGAGUUAUUCUGGAACUGACUUCACUCUGACCAUCAGUAGAGUCCAGACUGAAGAUGCAGGAGUUUAUUACUGUCAGCAGCGUAACAGCUACCCACUCACACAGUGAUACAACGUCGUACAAAAACCUUCAACUGGAGAGGAACUGAUCUGACUCAACAGCUGCACAGACAAACAGUGAGCGCUGCUCUGGGAGGCUCUGUCACCAUCACAUGUAGUACCAGUCAGAAUGUUUAUCUUCAUUACAACAGCCACUGUUUAGCCUGGUACCAACAGAGAGAUGGAGAAACUCCUAAACUGAUUAUACGUG